GAGGAGUCUAAUAUGGCUCCUCCUAGACUCCCUGUCACAGAAACACCGCUUUUGACAUAUCAUCGUCGUCCGCACCGAGCAUCAGGCCCAGCUGAUUCACGUCCUGCACCUCACCCUGCUCUUACUGCGGACUUGUCUCUUUCUAGUCCACCGAUUGCACUUCGGAAAGGUAAACGGACCACACUUAAUCCUAAUCCCCAUUAUGUUAUAGUCCGCCUUUUUCUCUCCAUGGCUGCUAUUCUCCAUUGGCCCCUCUAUCAGCUAGACUUAAGAAUGUCUUUUUACACGGUGACCUUGCGGAUGAAGUUUAUAUGGAGCAACCACCUGGGUUUGUUGCCCAGGGGGAGUCUCGUGGUCUUGUAUGUCGUUCAAAUAUUUGGGCUAGAUUACAGUGAUACCUUCUCUCCCGUGGCUAAGGUAGCUUCAGUCCGCCUUUUUCUCUCCAUGGCUGCUAUUCACCAUUGGCACUUCUAUCAACUUGAUAUGAAGAAUGCCUUUUUACACGGUGGCCUUGCGGAUGAAGUUUAUAUGGAGCAACCACCUGGGUUUGUUGCUCAACGGGAGUCUUGUGGUCUUGUAUGUCGCUUGCGCCGGUCACUUUAUGGUCUAAAGCAGUCUCCUCCAGCCUGGUUUAGUAAGUUCAGCACAGUUAUCCAGGAAUUUGGCAUGAUUCGGAGUGAAGUUGAUCACUAUGUGUUCUAUUGGCAUUCUGCUUCGAGUCUCUGUAUUUAUCUGGGGUUUAUGUUGACAACAUUGUUAUUACCGGCAAUGACCAGGAUGAUAUUGCUAAAUUGAAGCAACAUCUCUUUCAACAUUUUCAGACUAAGG
rnacentral:lncRNA from 1 species